rnacentral:rRNA from 1 species
UACGUAGGGUGCGAGCGUUGUCCGGAAUUAUUGGGCGUAAAGAGCUUGUAGGCGGUUUGUCGCGUCUGCUGUGAAAUCCGGGACUCAACCCCGGACUUGCAGUGGGUACGGGCAGACUAGAGUGUGGUAGGGGAGACUGGAAGUUCCUGGUGUAGCGGUGAAAUGCGUAGAGAAUCGGAAAGAACACCAACGGCGAAAGCAACUCUGCUGGGCCGACACUGACACUGAGAGACGAAAGCUAGGGAGCGA